rnacentral:rRNA from 1 species
UACGGGGGGGGCAAGCGUUGUUCGGAAUCACUGGGCGUAAAGGGCUCGUAGGCGGCCAACUAAGUCGGACGUGAAAUCCCUCGGCUUAACCGGGGAACUGCGUCCGAUACUGGAUGGCUUGAGUUUGGGAGAGGGAUGCGGAAUUCCAGGUGUAGCGGUGAAAUGCGUAGAUAUCUGGAGGAACACCGGUGGCGAAGGCGGCAUCCUGGACCAACACUGACGCUGAUGAGCGAAAGCCAGGGGAGCAAACGGG